rnacentral:rRNA from 1 species
UGCCCUAGUACGGCGAGUGAAGCGGCAACAGCUCAAAUUUGAAAUCUGGCUCUCGGGCCCGAGUUGUAAUUUGUAGAGGAUGCUUUUGGUGCGGUGCCUUCCGAGUUCCCUGGAACGGGACGCCAUAGAGGGUGAGAGCCCCGUCUGGUUGGAUGCCAAUCCUCUGUAAAGCUCCUUCGACGAGUCGAGUAGUUUGGGAAUGCUGCUCUAAAUGGGAGGUAUAUGUCUUCUAAAGCUAAAUACCGGCCAGAGACCGAUAGCGCACAAGUAGAGUGAUCGAAAGAUGAAAAGAACUUUGAAAAGAGAGUUAAAAAGUACGUGAAAUUGUUGAAAGGGAAGCGCUUGUGACCAGACUUGGGCUUGGUUGAUCAUCCAGGGUUCUCCCUGGUGCACUCUUCCGGCUCAGGCCAGCAUCAGUUUGCCUCGGGGGAUAAAGGCUUCGGGAAUGUGGCUCUCUCCGGGGAGUGUUAUAGCCCGCUGCGUAAUACCCUGUGGCGGACUGAGGUUCGCGCAUUCGCAAGGAUGCUGGCGUAAUGGUCAUCAGUGACCCGUCUUGAAACACGGACCAAGGAGUCGUCUUCGUAUGCGAGUGUUCGGGUGUCAAACCCCUACGCGAAAUGAAAGUGAACGCAGGUGAGAGCUUCGGCGCAUCAUCGACCGAUCCUGAUGUUCUCGGAUGGAUUUGAGUAAGAGCAUACGGAGCCGGACCCGAAAGAAGGUGAACUAUGCCUGUGUAGGGUGAAGCCAGAGGAAACUCUGGUGGAGGCUCGCAGCGGUUCUGACGUGCAAAUCGAUCGUCAAACAUGGGCAUG